GUGGAGGCCAAGGGUGGUGUGGGGCGCCCCCUCGCGGCCCGGCCCGGCCCGGCCCGGCCCGGGCUCGCCUCACCUCCCCGCCUGCUUAAGCCCUCCCGGAGCGCUCGGGGUUCAACCCCCGAGCACGGCGGGAGGAGGGCGCCCCCCUGCGGCACAGCCACGUCCACGAAGCCCCUCCCGGGGUUCUAGAAAGCGGAGGCCUCCGAAGGAAAGACCAAGAUGCAGAGAGAUGUCUAAAAGGUGCCAGAAGGUGACUAUCCAGCCCUGGUAUCACUGCCUGGUGAUUUCGUUUCUUUGAUCUUCACGAAUGGCCUCACUGGCUGUGAUUUGGACAGAAAUCAACUGCCACGUGCAACAUUCUCCCAUGGGAACAUGUGUCCGCAGUACCUAUCUCAGAGCCCAAAUCCUUCCUGCCCCACAGCCUUCUCCUGGGACCUGCCUUGGGUAAGCUGAGAAAUUGGGAUGGGAGGUGUGGGGGUGGGACAGAGUGUGCAGGUCUCUGGCCACCAGAGAAGCAGGAAGGGAUAAAGAUUCCUCCCAAUGUAUCUCCUGGCCUGGGUGUUUCUGCUGCCCACAAGUAUGUUGCUGUGAUUCUCAGGUCAAAGAGGCUCUCAGUUGCCUCAAAAGCUGCACCCUCGGCUGGGCUUGGUGGCUCACGCUUGUAAUUCCGGCGCUUUGGGAGGCCAAGGCAGGUAGAUCACUUGAGGUCAGGAGUUCGAGACUAGCCUGACCAAUAUGGUGAAACCCUGUCUCCACUAAAAAUACAAAAAAAUUAGUCGGGCAUGGUCGUGGGUGCCUGUAGUCCUAGCUUCUCGGAAGGCCGAGACAGGAGAAUUGCUUGAACCCAGCAGGCAGAGGUUGCAGUGAACCGAGACGGUGCCACUGCACUCCAGCCUGGGUGACAUAGUGAGACUCUGUCUCAAAAAAAAAAAAAUGCUGCACCCUGACCUCCUUCACUUUGCCUUCCCUGGGACGUGUACGCCAUCCCUUUGAUCCUCCUUCCUCGCCCCUCCUCCUCCUCCUGGAGUUAGCCUUCAUGCACUUGUUUAUUUGCUCAUCAUAGAUUUACUGGGUACCCUGAACACCCUCUGGGUCGGGCCAAAGCCAGGUGCUGGGGAGGCGCCCUUUAGAGGAUCAGCUGAGCCUUCUGGUCACGCAUGGCGAUUCCAUCAGCCCUGGCCCGGCACCCCUCUUGUUUGUGUCACUCAGCUGUGAAGACCUGUUGCCCAUGCUUGUCUUUGAUCUCCCCCAGCGGGGCUUCUGCUGGCUUAGCCUUUCCUCCCUCCAGCUCUGCCUGUGAGGUCCAGUGAUCCUUCCGGGCAGUGGACCCUGCUGUGUGGGCACCUCACAGGCUCCGCAGGAAGCUUCUGGCUUCCAGCACCCCCUCACCUUGCUCACACUUUGCCUCCACCCCUCAAGCAGGCAUGAUUCCUCAGUGAUGCCCCAGACUCUAUAAGGACCUGAAUUCAAACCAGUUUGCUUAGGGGACAUUCAAUUUGUAGCUGUGAAAAUGAAUUUAAAGUUCACCUGAAAAAAAAAGAACAAAAGUAGACUAUCCAGGCCGGGCGCUGUGGCUCACGCCUGUAAUCCCAGUACUUUGGGAGGCCGAGGCGGGUGGAUCACGAGGUCAGGAGAUCGAGACCAUCCUGGCUAACACGGUGAAACCCCAUCUUUACUAAAAAUACAAAAAAUUAGCUGGGCGUAGUGAUGGACACCUGUAGUCCCAGCUACUCGGGAGGCUGAGGCAGAAGAAUGGCGUGAACCCGGGAGGCGGAGCUUGCAGUGAGCCGAGAUCACGCCACUGCACUCCCUCCUGGGCGACAGAGCAAGACUCCGUCUCAAAAAAAAAAGUAGACUAUCCAGGACUUUUUUUGGGAGGGGGGAAUAUAAAAAACCAUGAAAGAUAUAUCCCUCACCAAAUAUUAAAUGAAUAAUUAAGUUAAAAAGCUUUUUUGCUUUAACUGGUUUGGUACUGUUGCUGAAAUAUGCAAAAGCAAUUCAAUGGGACAGAAUACACCCAAGAAAUAGAUCCAGAUAUCUACAUGGAAGAAACGGUAUCCAGACUGCAAAAAAAACUCAG